rnacentral:rRNA from 1 species
CCUACGGGUGGCAGCAGUGAGGAAUAUUGGUCAAUGGCCGAGAGUCUGAACCAGCCAAGUAGCGUGAGGGAAGACUGCCCUAUGGGUUGUAAACCUCUUUUAUCGGGGAAUAAAAGCGUCAACGUGUGGGCUGUGGUAGGUACCGUAUGAAUAAGGACCGGCUAAUUCCGUGCCAGCCGCCGCGGUAAUACGGAGGUGCCGGGCGUUAUCCGGAUUUAUUGGGUUUAAAGGGAGCGUAGGUGGGUUUUUAAGCGCGUCGUGAAAAUUUGUGGCUUAACCGUUACAGUGCGGUUGAAACUGGCGGUCUAGAGUGUGCGAGAGGUAGGCGGAAUUCGUGGUGUAGCGGUGAAAUGCUUAGAUAUCACGAAGAACCCCGAUUGCGAAGGCAGCUCACCGGAGCACAACUGACGCUGAGGCUCGAAAGCGUGGGUAUCGAACAGGAUUAGAUACCCGAGUAGUC